rnacentral:rRNA from 1 species
CAAGUCGAGCGGUAACAGGGGAGCUUGCUCCUGCUGACGAGCGGCGGACGGGUGAGUAACGCGUAGGAAUCUGCCUAGUAGAGGGGGACAACAUGUGGAAACGCAUGCUAAUACCGCAUACGCCCUGAGGGGGAAAGCGGAGGAUCUUCGGACUUCGCGCUAUUAGAUGGGCCUGCGUAAGAUUAGCUUGUUGGUGAGGUAAUGGCUCACCAAGGCAACGAUCUUUAGCUGGUUUGAGAGGAUGAUCAGCCACACUGGGACUGAGACACGGCCCAGACUCCUACGGGAGGCAGCAGUGGGGAAUAUUGCACAAUGGGCGAAAGCCUGAUGCAGCCAUACCGCGUGUGUGAAGAAGGCUCUAGGGUUGUAAAGCACUUUCAGUAGGGAGGAAAGGUUGUAGAUUAAUACUCUGCAGCUGUGACGUUACCUACAGAAGAAGGACCGGCUAACUCCGUGCCAGCAGCCGCGGUAAUACGGAGGGUCCGAGCGUUAAUCGGAAUUACUGGGCGUAAAGCGUACGUAGGUGGUUUGUUAAGUUGGAUGUGAAAGCCCAGGGCUCAACCUUGGAACUGCAUUCAAAACUGAUGAACUA